rnacentral:tRNA from 1 species
CAGUUUAAAUUCAUUAAAAGUUUCAUUUACAUUGAAAUUAAAUUUGUUUAGAGCAGAUUAAAUUGA